GCCAGGUGUCGGCACAACAGGCAAAGCUUAUAGCAGUGAUUUUAGCUAUAGAAAAAUAUACUUCUAAACUUAAUCUUUACAAAAUAUGUAGUGGGACUGUUUCCUGCUAUAGAGACAGCCCUGCUGUCUGGAAAGUCUCUGAUUUUACCAUUGCUGCAAAAGCUACAGAGGUUGAUACAAGAGAGACAAAAUAAAAUAUACAUAGGGCAUAUAAGAGGACAUACAGGCCUCCUGGGCCCCUGGCAGAAGGAAACAGGCAAGCAGAACUCUACACAAGUGUAUCCAGCAGUGGAACAGGCUUUAGAGAGCCAUAAGCUGCAUCAUCAAAAUGCCCUAGCUCUUAGGAGGAUGUUUCAUCUGACUAGAGAACAAGCUAGACAAAUAGUAAAGCAAUGCAGAGCUUGUCCUCUGAGCACUCAUGCUCCAAAGAUGGGAGUAAACCCUAGAGGGUUGAAGCCACUAGCCUUGUGGCAAAUGAAUGUGACUCAUGUUCCAGAAUUUGGGAAGUUAAGCUAUGUUCAUGUGGUGGUGGAUACUUUGUCUCAUGUAGUCUUUGCCACAGCCAGAAUGGGAGAAGCAGUGAGGGAUGUUAUUCAGCAUCUUUGUGCUGCAUUCACUGCUUUGGGAAUUCCCAGAAAGAUAAAGACUGAUAAUGCUCCUGCUUAUGUUGCUAAAGCUUUACAAAAGCUUUUAGCUGCUUGGGGCAUUGAGCAUAUCACAGGUAUUCCUUACAAUCCACAAGGGCAGGCGAUGAUUGAAAGAACUCCUCAAACUCUAAAAGGGCAGAUAGAACGCCUCAAGAAAGCCAAUUCCUAUCUUUCCUCUCAUCAUGUACUUUCUCAUGCCGUUUGUACUUAAUCAUUUGAAUUCCUCAGAAGAAGGAACAAUUCCAAUGCGGAGACAUUGGGGGAAGACAUUGCAGAAGGUUCAUCCUCAGGUCUUCUGGAAGGAUCUACUAUCGGGUACCUGGAAAGGCCCCGAUGUCUUAAUUGCCUCCGGACGAGGCUAUGCUUGUGUCUUCCCACAGGAUGCAGACUCACGGAUCUGGAUCCCAGAUCACCUCAUCUGCCCAGCUGCAGCCCCGCCUGUCGCCUGUCAAGACGACAGAGGAAGAGGAGAAGGCAGGACCUGCAAGCAAGACUCAAACAACAUUGAAGGGACUUUCCUUCCAGCCGGAGAGCGAGCAGGGGAAAGUGAAACUGACAACUUGGACACAGCUGGAGAGUCUCACCAAAGAAGCUAAGACUGUUGUGAAAAAAUCUCAUGCAAAGCUUACUCCGGUUAAUGUUUUUCCUGCUUAUUUAGUUAUAUUGGCUGUUAAGCCAGCUGAGGUUGUAGAGGAAAGUUUUGGGGCUUAUGUGCCAAAGCCCCGUCUGAUUCAUCCGGUUGGGUGGAGAGAUCAGAGUUACAUAAAUGUCAUGACAAAUCAUUCAGAACUUCAGGAGGAACUCCAGAUUUCCAUCUGAGAAAGAACGCCUCUGUGUAUUUAAAUUAUGAAAGGAGAGCAGAUUCAUCACCAAUCUGCGUAGCUUUAAGAGGAGUUGCACAACCUGGGUGUCUUCCUGUUAACUACAGGACCUUCUUAACAGACACUCCGGACAGGGAGGUUAUUUCAAAGGCUGUUGCUCGGGACCCAACUCAAGUUUAACUUCACACAUUAGACCUUCAAAGUCCAAAGAAGAGUCAUUAUCUUCAGCGAGAGGCAGUCUCAAUCAGGACAGUGUUCCAGGAGAUAUCAUCUCAGGUGAAGGCAAUUGUCUUUCUGCAAGAUUCUGUAUCCUGGAGCAAGAACAAGAAUCUCCUGAGAAUGUCUGCUCAGACAAAGGAGGCUUCAGUAGGCAACACUUGUAGAUACAGAACUAAAGUGGAGAUGAUCAUGGGAACUGGAGUACAGAGAAUUCUCUGGAAGGAACAUCCUUGCUUGUCCUCUGGAUGGUGACCUAAUGUCCUCAAUUCAUUUUGAGGUUUUGUGAAACUCGUUUCAUGGGUCCCCAAAUUUAUGAGGAUUUGUUUUUUGAGACUGGCUUCCUCUGUGUAACAGCCCUGGAUAUUCUGGAACUCAC